AGAUGUAGAUAUUUACACCCAACCAAUGGACAGAAGCUGCUGAACCCUGUGGUUGAAUUAGGAAAAAGCUGGAAGAAGCUGAAGAGGAGGGCCACCCUGUAGGAGGGCCAGAAGUCUCAAUUAACCUGGACCCCUAAGAUCUCUCAGAAACUGGCCCAACAGCCAGGUGGGAGCCUAUCAUGGCUGUCCUCUGAGUGACCCUACCAGCAGCUGACUGAGACAGAAGCAAAUACCGACACCUCAUCAUUGGACUGGUGCCGGGCAUCAUGAUGGUUGAAUUAACGGAAAGAUUGAAGAAGCUGAAUGGGAGGAUGAGCCCAUAGGAAGACCAGCAGUCUCAACUAACUCAGACCACAGGGAGCUUCCACAGACUGAGGUACCAACCAGGAGUAUACCAACCAGGAAAUCAACUUCAAACAAUCAGAAAUGACAAUGAAUCAUGGUGACUUCCCAAAAGUAUGGAGGAGAUCAAAGAAUGACAAAAUCAAAAGCAUACUGAAUCAAGGAAAACUGAGCUGUCUGCAACUUCACAAGAAGACCUACCAGAUCCUGGACAUCCAUCUUCAUUUAGAACUCACCAGAUCUCAGACUGAAAUUUGCAAGAGUCUGUUGAAAUCAUCCACCCUAUGACAGUGUGCAUGUGACUAUGUAUGCAUAUGUGCUAUAGCAGACUAACUGAAGUGAUGCCAGACUCUCAAGGAGCCUGAUGUUACUUAUCUCCUGUCCAACUUACCCCAGUAAGCUUCAGUUGUUUUGGUUGCUCAUUGUAUGCUCUCUCAUACUCUUAUCAAGGCCCCCCACAAAUAUAGACCAUCACGGAGAAAUACAACUGAUGCAAUGCGAAGAGCAAUAAAUCAUGGGAACUCAGUCCUAACAGAUACAUCUACAUUACAAUGAUUGCAUUCGUACUUCAAGGAACAUCUGGAAGAGAGUGGAAAUAAUUCAUGAGCCAGAAUACCAGAACUGUACUGUGAAACAGUCAAUGGCAAUGUCAGUGGAUAUGGAGUUACUACUGAAAAGUCUGAAGACAAACUAACAAAUUUCUCCAAAACAAAAAGUGAUAUUUGUUGUUUAUGCAACUGAUAUAUUUCCUGUGGCAAAUAAAGGAAAAUGCUAAGAUAUUU
ensembl:lincRNA 4930445B16Rik RIKEN cDNA 4930445B16 gene